AGUUUAGCUAUGGCUCCGCUUCCAGCCCGAGGGCGGGAUGUCGGUGGAGUAGAGGUCGGUGUCGGUGUCGGCCAGCAGCACGGCCUUCAUCCCCCGCGAGCUCAGCACCUGUUGGCAGAAGCGGCAGCACAGCACGGUCACGCUCCGGUCUGCGAAAGUACAGCCGUUGCCCGACAUCGCGGGCGGCCGCCGCUGGGCCCCGCCGCUCCUGUCCGGG
rnacentral:lncRNA from 1 species